GUCCUUCAUGCAGCAGGGAGAAGGCUACGGACAAACUUCUCGUCGUCGUGCUUCCAACACCGGAACGACAAGACGGAAACACACGACUCCGUCUCGACUCCAACUCAAACUCGCGCGAACGCCAAGAAGAACGGCGAACCACGAACGCGCCUUCAUCCUCUUACGAAGAAUUCUAGAAAACAACUUCGAGUACACAUUCACUAUCGGCGUCGAAUCGCAAUCAACCGACAUCGAAAUUACUCAAUGACUUGUACAAGAAAUGAAGCUGAAUGCAGAAUGGAAGCGUACCAAACUCGCGUGGCGCGUGGAGAUGAAGACGAAAGCGAAACUCUGCUCAUAUUCGUGCGCAAAAACUGGUUGUUGAAGAUGGCUUAAGAAUUGAGGUUGAUGGAGAUGAAGGGAGAGUGAAGAGGCUCCAAGUUCGGAAAGAAGAUAAGAGACUGCUCUUCUUCCGUUUUGGGGAAUUUCAGGUGAGGGUUGAAGGUGGUGGAAGAUGGAGAUCUUAAUUUCGGUUAUGAUUUUUCUGAACCUGAUGAGUGAUGAUGAGGGAUAUAUAUAUAAGGAUUGAACCUUCACGGAGUCAAGGUUCCGUUAACAUCUCUUAGUGAAGAAUCGGUUGAACGUUGCUUAUGCAGCUUUUGCGUACUGCGCUGGCGUGGCUUGGUGUGAAGUUUCGGAACACCGCUUUGGCUUGCACACGCGUUUCUGGUUUGGCUUGAGUUUGCCGCAUUUUGGAGCUUGCAACGCGGACGUCGAGUUUUGGCUCUUGUGCGUCACGACUUGUGUUUGUGUUCAUAGCAUCUUGUGGCUUUUUUGCUUUUCGUUGCCAUGGACGUUACAGCUUUUGGCAUACGCUGCAUUUGGUUGUUUCUUUGUUUUUGUCUCAUUCAGCUAUUGCACUUGGGGUACUGAACAUUGUAAUUCACUUAACUUGAAAAUGUGGCUAUUGGUCAUGGUUUGAAUUAUGGAUACAGUCAAUUGGAAUAUGGAUAUUUGGUUCA